AUCCCAUGAUGAGGACAGGCAGCCAUAUACUCCUGCAGUCGUUCCCACGCUUCCGGAAUGGACUCAUCCCUUGUCUGCUGGAAACUGGAAAUUCGUCCUCGAAGGGC
rnacentral:snoRNA from 1 species